rnacentral:rRNA from 1 species
GAUGAACGCUGGCGGCGUGCCUAAUACAUGCAAGUCGAGCGAACAGACGAGGAGCUUGCUCCUCUGACGUUAGCGGCGGACGGGUGAGUAACACGUGGAUAACCUACCUAUAAGACUGGGAUAACUUCGGGAAACCGGAGCUAAUACCGGAUAAUAUAUUGAACCGCAUGGUUCAAUAGUGAAAGACGGUUUUGCUGUCACUUAUAGAUGGAUCCGCGCCGCAUUAGCUAGUUGGUAAGGUAACGGCUUACCAAGGCAACGAUGCGUAGCCGACCUGAGAGGGUGAUCGGCCACACUGGAACUGAGACACGGUCCAGACUCCUACGGGAGGCAGCAGUAGGGAAUCUUCCGCAAUGGGCGAGAGCCUGACGGAGCAACGCCGCGUGAGUGAUGAAGGUCUUCGGAUCGUAAAACGCUGUUAUUAGGGAAGAACAAAUGUGUAAGUAACUAUGCACGUCUUGACGGUACCUAAUCAGAAAGCCACGGCUAACUACGUG